GUCUGCUCUGGGACUUGGAACAAAAGGGGAAACUCUGAUGAACUCCUUCUCCAGCUCCCUGGACGCCCGAGUAUCUCUUUCUCGCAACUUUGUCAACGCGACUUUCUCCGCUGUCAGGCUGCGCAAAAGUAUCCUAGCGCCUCGCAGGCUGCAACAAUGGAAACAAUGUCCCUUCAAAGUGCGACGAAGUGGAGGGAGAAGGUGUCAUACCAGCGACUCCAAGAGUCAUGUCACCCACUUAGCAGGAGUACUUCUACUGAAAUGCCUUCGAAUUUCUCUUACUGGAUAUAUACCUACCAGCCGCUAGCAUGAAGAUGCCAGGACCGCUGCAAGUUAGCACUGGACAAAGUAGCAUCAACUUCUUCAUUUAGAGUUUCUUCAGUUAAAUUGCUGGGAUUUUCGACAAGGCUUUCCUUAUGUGGAUUAUUGGAGUGUGAUGCCCGAGAAUUCUCUACUUGUAGAAGCACGCCCACGGGACUGCAGAAGCCUUCACACCCACCCAGCACGCUCAGAUCAUCCAGUAACCAACCCAGGAAGUUCUUGUAAGCAUGCAUUUCUUAGUCAACACUGAAUGCCUUUAGACCGAGGUCAACCUUUUCAGCUGGUACCGUGGUUUACACUGCUGAAAGUACUGUCUUCAACCUUACCAAUGUCAGUGGCGGCGACGGUGGCGUCACCAUCACCAUCAGAGAAAAAGAAAUAUGCCUUUAUGUCAUGAUGGGAAUGAGUGAUGGCCAUCCAGUGACCAGCUGGAUCUGACUGCCUUACAAGACGCAUGUGUAUGAUUAAGAGAGAGACAUUCGUGACUCCCAGAUGUACCUCCUUCCUGUCCCACAGUGUUCCUGAAGGGAGUGAGUUAUGGGGUAACUUAUAACACAGCAGGCUCUUCCUCAAGAUAGCUCUUGUCAAAACAGGAAGACGAAACUCGGGUUUCCAUGAGGAGACCACAGCUUGGGAUCCUGUCUGGAUGUACAAGCAGAAGCAUCUUCAUACUUUUCCAUUUCUAACCAUCAUGCCUCACCCCACCCUCCCAAGGCGACAUCUGCAGAGAGGUGGAACCAUCUAGGGAGGCCUGCCACUGUUUGCUGAGCUCCGGGUGAGGAUGAAGACACUUUGACAUGGCCAGCUUCAGACUCGGGAUCUGUCGGUGUUAGCAGCCGAAGGAGAAUGAGGAGGAAGAGGAGGAGAAAGAGGAGGAGGAAGUAAGACAGAGGGGGACAAGAGGACCAAGAGGGCACAUGGCUGAGGAGGAGGAGAACAACAACAACAACAACAACAACAACAACAACAAGAAGCUUGGUGGUGAAACUUGGAAGCCCUCUCCAGGAUGCAGCAGGUAGCUGAGGAGAAAACGAAGACUGACCAGCCCAGAGCUCAGAGCUUCCUCCCAUGCUCAGGAUUUACCACCAAUGCCAUUACAUCGGCCUCUUCUUGUAUGCCUCUGGAAACCACAUGUGUCCUCUGUUUGUAAUGGUUUGGCUAUGGUUGCUGGCCCCUCUUGGACAUUGUUUUCAGAACUUAAAGAAACAUUGCUUUAAAGAUUUAUUAGAACAUAUUUAAAAUAAAACCAUCUUCUCAUUUAGUAUGCAA
rnacentral:lncRNA from 1 species